rnacentral:rRNA from 1 species
AACGAACGCUGGCGGCAUGCCUAACACAUGCCAGUCGAACGAGACCUUCGGGUCUAGUGGCGCACGGGUGCGUAACGCGUGGGAACCUGCCCUUAGGUUCGGAAUAACUCCCCGAAAGGGGUGCUAAUACCGGAUAAUGUCUUCGGACCAAAGAUUUAUCGCCUUUGGAUGGGCCCGCGUUGGAUUAGCUAGUUGGUAGUGUAAAAGCCUACCAAGGCGACGAUCCAUAGCUGGUCUGAGAGGAUGAUCAGCCACACUGGGACUGAGACACGGCCCAGACUCCUACGGGAGUGAGCAGUAGGGAAUAUUGGAAAAGGGGCGAAAGCCUGAUCCAGCAAUGCCGCGUGAGUGAUGAAGGCCUUAGGGUUGUAAAGCUCUUUUACCCGGGAUGAUAAUGACAGUACCGGGAGAAUAAGCUCCGGCUAACUCCGUG